UACGUAGGGACCAAGCGUUGUUCGGAUUUACUGGGCGUAAAGGGCGCGUAGGCGGCUUGACAAGUCACUUGUGAAAUCUCCGGGCUUAACUCGGAACGGCCAAGUGAAACUGUCAUGCUAGAGUGCAGAAGGGGCAAUCGGAAUUCUUGGUGUAGCGGUGAAAUGCGUAGGUAUCAAGAGGAACACCUGAGGUGAAGACGGGUUGCUGGGCUGACACUGACGCUGAGGCGCGAAAGCUAGGGGAGCGAACGGG
rnacentral:rRNA from 1 species